rnacentral:rRNA from 1 species
AUACGGAGGGUGCAAGCGUUAAUCGGAAUUACUGGGCGUAAAGAGUACGUAGGUGGUUUAUUAAGUCAGAUGUGAAAGCCCCGGGCUCAACCUGGGAACUGCAUUUGAAACUGAUAAGCUAGAGUAUGAUAGAGGGGGGUAGAAUUUCUAGUGUAGCGGUGAAAUGCGUAGAUAUUAGAAGGAAUACCAGUGGCGAAGGCGGCCCCCUGGACCAAUACUGACACUGAGGUACGAAAGCGUGGGGAGCGAACAGUAUUAGAUACCCUAGUAGUCC